CCUCAGUGUUGCCCUCUGUGUAUUUGACAAGCUGGGUUCAACACUCAGUGUAGCAGUGUCAGUUUGUCAAAUAUACAAAGUGCGGCAUUU
rnacentral:pre_miRNA from 1 species